GUGGGGAAUUUUGGACAAUGGGCGCAAGCCUGAUCCAGCAAUGCCGCGUGCAGGAAGAAGGCCUUCGGGUUGUAAACUGCUUUUGUACGGAACGAAACGGUCCUGGUUAAUACCUGGGGCUAAUGACGGUACCGUAAGAAUAAGCACCGGCUAACUACGUGCCAGCAGCCGCGGUAAUACGUAGGGUGCGAGCGUUAAUCGGAAUUACUGGGCGUAAAGCGUGCGCAGGCGGUGCUGUAAGACAGGCGUGAAAUCCCCGGGCUCAACCUGGGAAUUGCGCUUGGGACUGCAGUGCUUGAGUACGGCAGAGGGGGAUGGAAUUCCGCGUGUAGCAGUGCAAUGCGUAGAUAUGCGGAGGAACACCGAUGGCGAAGGCAGUCCCCUGGGCCUGUACUGACGCUCAUGCACGAAAGCGUGGGGAGCAAACAGGAUUAGAAACCCCAGUAGUCC
rnacentral:rRNA from 1 species